CCGAACAAGAGCCAUGGAACGGUGAUGUCCCAUUAGACACCUGGCGCGCUACUUCAUGUUGGGUACCCUCGUUCCAAUACGUUAUAAAAGAGUAUGCAUUCGUCCACCUUGAAUAUUAUUCAUGUUCUGGUUAAAAAAGGCCCUAAUGAUUUAUGCUAUACAACGUUUGACAUGUUUGAACGAACGGAAAUAUAUUUUUUCCCCUCGUUCAUGACGAGAAGUCCGGCUGGCUUACAUCAUGUGCUAACGAGACGGAGAUUUUUGGACAUAAAUGAUGAGCUUUUUUGAACAAAACUACAUUCGUUAUGGACCUGUGAUACCUGGAAGUGACAUCUGAUGAAGAGAAUCAAAGCCAACCUUGACAGAAUCACGCACAUGAAUUGAUGGAGUCAGCAGGAGCUUCAGCGCCAGCCCUGUCCAUGGAAGAAAGGGUUGCCCGGGAGUCCAGAAGGCAGGCGGAGCACUCCUUUGACAUCUCAGGCCGGUGGUAGCUGGUCCGAUGCAGGACGAUGAGGUGCAGGAGGUCCCUCCGCCCUUCCUGGACAUCGGGGGGGCCCGGCGUACACAGUCCGGUCCAUCUUGGACUCCAGGUGCUGGGUGAGGGGCCUGCAGUACCUCGUGGACUGGGAGGGGUACGGCCCGGAGGAGAGGUGCUGGGUACGUGUGGAGGACAUAUUGGACCCAGCGCUAAUCCGGGAGUUCCACAGCCUCCAUCCGGAUCGCCCUGCGCAUCGCCCUCCGGGGCAUCCUCGAGGCCGGCGUCGGCUCGCUGUGGGAGCCGCGCGUCGGGGGGUACUGUCACGACACCGACGGAAGGUGGCGCCCCUCCUUGCCCGGGCGGCGCUCGGCGGUCGUCGUCGGCGGCCUACUAGCUGCCAUUGAUCCUCUGUUUCACUUUCUGUUGGUUAGGUCUAGGUUAGGCACGCACCUGUUUUGUAUUUGUUGUUAGUGGGGGGGGUAUUUAGUCUAGCUAG
rnacentral:lncRNA from 1 species